rfam:Methylobacterium radiotolerans JCM 2831, complete genome.
CAACCAACGAAAGGAGGUGAUCCAGUGUCUCAUUGUCAUCAGCCGUGUGUCUCGGCUCAUCGGACCUGGACCGUCGCCUCCGGCGCGUCGCUCUAAGACGCGCUAGAGACCCGAUCUCGGGACAGUUCCGCCGGACGACACGGUUCGGCAAUGGAAGGGCCACCCUCUCGGGUGGCCCU